CCCAUCUCCUCCUCAUCUCCACCUCCACCGCCACCGCCACCGCGAGGAAGACGCGGUCGCCGUAGCAGCCACGUCUCCUCCACCACCUCGUCUCCCUCUCGAGAGAGACACCGCGCGUCUCGUCUCGUCUCAUGGCGCCGCCGCCUCGGGCUCGCUUGGUGCAGAUCGGGACCCGCCGCCGCCGCUGCCGGGGCCGGAUCCCGCCUUGCACCAAGUGAAUCGGAGCCGGCGUAGCGCCCUCCUUCCGCCGAUCCGCCGCCGAUGCUGCGCUGCUUGGUUGUUUUUAUUGUCUCUCCUUCGUUUCUGGGUCGGUAUCGGGACGGGGUUAGCGAUGAAUCGGAUCGAAUUGCUGAUCCUCCUCGUGUUCGUGUUCGUAGGUGUGGGGCGUACGCGUUUGUAUUAGAUUUAAUUUUUUUUUCAGAUCUAGAUCUGGUGCCUAAUUCUCGAUUACUUAUUCUAUCUAUGAUUCGUGUCGGCGUUAUCAAGUUGGAAUUUCCCCUAAUUUUUGGUGGCUAUCCUGAGUUUGGUACUCGUAUCAGUAUCAGGAGUAUGGUUUCAGGGGAGGCCACCUAGAAUUAGCGGGAAAAAGAUCUGAAUCUCAUUGUCUUUUUGGGUAGAUGAGGUUUAUUUGCGAUCUAUGCUUUGAUUGAACUGUGGGUAUCAUUUAUUGAUAUGGAUGUUGUUAAUCUGAAUCUACCACUGCUAGUACGGGUCUAUCAUGGUUGCUAAUUAAGAUGAAGGUUGAAAUUAUGGUGAAUUCAUUUUGGUAUAAUGAUCUGUGACCAUGAGUUCAUGCUGAAUCCUGUAUAUGCUUAAUUUAGCACAUCUGCUGUAGUCUGCAUAGUGGUCUUCAUGGCAUAUGCUAAUUCUGGUAGUGCCACCAAUAAGGUGUGGCCUUGCCCUUGCUCUGUUCAGUUGUGGAAAUUAAGAACUUUGAUUCUAAAUGCAUGCUAUUUGUUAGAGGCUGUGUGUGGCUACAAGUUUCUACAUGCCCUUUUGGCCUAACAGAGGCAUAUGCUUAUCGCUAAUAUAGACCUUAGCCAUGGUCAAACAAACAGGUUACUAGUUGCAAGUUUGCCUUUCUCGUAUUUUAAGAUCUAAUUCCGAGGAUAAAGCUAAUAGACCGGAGAUAAUUAGUGAUGCGAAAAAAGACUUAGUGUUUCAAACAACUUUGGGACUUAUCUAGUUUAUCUACUGACCUAGGUAAGUGAAUUAUUGUGCUAUAUAGCUGAGUAAUUUAAUUAAUAGUGCAAUAAAACUACUUGUCUCUAGUUUAUCGAUGUUAUGAAAAUGACUAAUUCAAUUUAUGUUGUAAUUGUAAAUUGUUUUGAGGUAAACUUUCAAACUUACUUUCUUAAGUUUACAGGUUUAACUCUUUUCUUUAAUGGCCUGUCGAAGUAUUUAAUUCAUGGAUUGAUUCAACGGCGGGAAGAUAGAUUUACUACAUCAAAAAGCAGCUGGCUUUCCUUUUGAAAAAAAAGCAUCGAUCUGUUUUGCCGGGCCAAAAUGCAUUAAUCUUGUUCUGGAGAUAAUUUUAAAUUCCUUCACAGUGUACAACUUUGAACCAAUGGGCUUCUUUGAUGCUCAACGGUUUUGCAUCCAUGCUAGUACUAGUAUAUUUGCAUAUGUAUCUAUUUGUAGGGAUGUGCUUUUCCUCUGGAUUGAUGCUGGCUGCGCUGCCUGAAAUAGUAAACACAGUACAAAUCAUUGAUAAAUUAAACAAGACCUAGUCUUAGUUCAAAUGUCAGGCCAUUGAUUGGUCUAGUUUUGUGGGUAUCUUGAUAGAUCCAGCUUUCACCAUAAACUAACAAUGGUUUCUAUUCAGCUUUAUUUGUUGUCUAACAAUUCGCAUGCUCCUCUUUAUACUGCUUAAAAUGGAAGUUAUGGAAGUAAAAAUUCCUGGUUUCAAGUAUUGCUUCAGGAUUUAUAGUAACAGUGCAGAGUGCUAUUUAUGCAUAAUUCAUCCAUAAUUUUGGUAAGAUGCUGGACUUCUUUUUAUCAAUCAUAUCAUUUUCACAGGCAAGACACUUUUCUCACUGUACAAAUAUUCAAAGUCUCCAAGAAGCAUCGCAUUCACCGUUCCUAUGAUUUGACGCAUAUCACAUUCGGUGACUCAUAACCAAAGUUGGAAUUGGGUUCCUUUUGUUUAUAAAAAGAAAAAAAAAGAAAACCUGUAACCUGUUGUGGGAAUAUAUGCUGCGAGAUCAAGAUUCUUUUUCCAUCAGAGAUAGAUAAGGAAGAGACAAAGUAGCCGAUUGGCACUAGCUGGACAUUUGAACUUGUUCCAUGAAAAGUGGAUUCCCUACAUUUUGAGCUGGAUGCCCUGAUCAGUGAGGUGUAAAUUUUUAGUGGUUAGAAUAUUCUGCUAAAAGCCAGUGACAGCCUUCAGGAGAACAUGUUCUGAAAAGCUGUCGAAGAAUAUAAAUAUCUGACCACCACCCCGGAGAUAGAUUUGAAUGGAUGAGCAGAGCCUGAUAAAAUUCCAGUAUUUAGUGCAUGCAAUAAGGUCAAGUUGGUGUGGUGGUUGUACAAUAUAUACUGUAGUAUUUUGUUUCUAAUCAUGUUCUAACAUGGUGGCAGUAAAAUAUUUUAGCUCCGUACCUGUACCAUGAUCAAACAUGGAGGUGGUAAACUAUUCUAGUUCCAUCACUGUAUGAUGAUACUAACAUGGUUGAGCAGUACUACAUAUAUAGUGUUUUUCUUUUGUCCAAACAUAAAGAAGAAUAUGUUAUUGUCACAUGGUAUUGGGAUCGGCAAGCCGUCGAUUUCGCAUCUACUAUUUCAUGUGCCAACUGUGUGGUUUACAGUUGAAUUAUUCUGGGGGAUAGUACCAGUGUACAAGAUCACACACAGAUCAGCUGGAUUGGAAUACUGGGGAGGAUGCAGGGUACUUUGAUCUUUGAGUGAUUUGUGUGGCAGAUCAAAAACAUGGUGGGCUCCUGUGAUGGAGCUGGUUGAUGGUAGCUGCUGUCGCUUGUGCUGUUCCAGGCAGGCUCCAGCACAUGAAAAGCCUGAGCUGCUGCUGCUGCUGGUGUUGAGAGAGGGGAGCUGCAACUUCUCUGGUGGAAUUGGGAAUCUUCUGCAAGGUUGGGUUGGGUGUGGGGGGUGCGUCUCUCUGGGAAAUUAUCUUGAGAGAUUGCGUGCUGUUCUUCUGUCCCGGCGCAGUGAUGGAUAGUGUGUCCGUUCUGGCAGUGCAGCUGUGCAGGAGGUGCAGCCCAGUCAUCUCUGCUGCAUGUGUUUCUGCUGCCUUUUCGGACCCGUGCAAAGUUACAUGUACUCCAGUAUUUUCAUGUUUCUUGCUAUGAUUGUGUAUGUACUCCGGUUUUCAUGUUUCUUAUGGUUAUGUGAAGUGACAUGCUAAGAAUUUCAAUGGUGUGUACUUAAUCUGAAGAAGUGGCAAGCUAA